rnacentral:rRNA from 1 species
UGGGGAAUAUUGGACAAUGGGGGAAACCCUGAUCCAGCAAUGCCGCGUGAGUGAUGAAGGCCUUAGGGUUGUAAAGCUCUUUUACCCGGGAAGAUAAUGACUGUACCGGGAGAAUAAGCCCCGGCUAACUUCGUGCCAGCAGCCGCGGUAAUACGAAGGGGGCUAGCGUUGUUCGGAAUUACUGGGCGUAAAGCGCACGUAGGCGGAUACUUAAGUUAGGGGUGAAAUCCCAGGGCUCAACCCUGGAACUGCCUUUAAUACUGGGUAUCUUGAGUUCGAGAGAGGUGAGUGGAAUUCCGAGUGUAGAGGUGAAAUUCGUAGAUAUUCGGAGGAACACCAGUGGCGAAGGCGGCUCACUGGCUCGAUACUGACGCUGAGGUGCGAAAGCGUGGGGAGCAAAC